rnacentral:rRNA from 1 species
ACUCUGCCUAAAGCUUUUGACUUGAAAAAAGACUUGAGCAAUGGGCUGGCCUUAGGGGCCCCUAGUAUGUUUAUCAUACUAACCCCAAAGGUUUUUUCUACUAUGUCUAUGAAUUGAUGUAUGAAAAAAAAGUUAUUUGUUAACUUGAAGGCUUCUGUAAAAAGAGUCUUUAAAAACAACUCUUGGCAAUGGAUCUCUUGGUUCUCGCAUCGAUGAAGAGCGUAGCAAAGUGCGAUAAUUAUUGCGACUUGCAUUCAUAGUGAAUCAUCGAGUUCUUGAACGCAUCUUGCGCCUAGUAGUCAAUCUACUAGGCACAGUUGUUUCAGUAUCUGCAUCCACCAAUCAACUUAACCUUUUGUGUUGAGUUGGAACUGGGCUUCUAGUUGAUGGCAUUUAGUUGCUGUCAUGGCCUUAAAUCAAUGUCCUAGGUGUUAGAACAUCUAACACCGGAUGGAAACUUUAGAGCGCUUUAAGAGCAGCUUGGUUAGUGAGUUCAAUAAUUCCAAGCAUUAAGUCUUUUAAUGAACUAGCUUUUCUAUCUAUGGGACACUACUUGGAGAAAUCCAAGUAA